rnacentral:rRNA from 1 species
UACAGAGGGUGCAAGCGUUGUUCGGAUUUACUGGGCGUAAAGGGCGCGUAGGCGGCAUGACAAGUCACUUGUGAAAUCUCUGGGCUUAACCCAGAACGGCCAAGUGAUACUGUCGCGCUAGAGUGCGGAAGGGGCAAUCGGAAUUCUCGGUGUAGCGGUGAAAUGCGUAGAUAUCGAGAGGAACACCUGAGGUGAAGACGGGUUGCUGGGCCGACACUGACGCUGAGUGCGCGAAAGCCAGGGGAGCAAACGGG